UCCGUAGGUGAACCUGCGGAAGGAUCAUUAAUGAAUUUUAGGACUCUCUUUUUAGAGGUCCGACCCUUUCAUUUCCAUACACUGUGCACACACUUCUUUUCACACAUUUUAACACUAUAGUAUAAGAAUGUAACAGUCUCUUUAUUGAGCAUAAAUAAAAAUAAAACUUUCAGCAACGGAUCUCUUGGCUCUCGCAUCGAUGAAGAACGCAGCGAAUUGCGAUAAGUAAUGUGAAUUGCAGAAUUCAGUGAAUCAUCGAAUCUUUGAACGCACCUUGCACUCUUUGGUAUUCCGAAGAGUAUGUCUGUUUGAGUGUCAUGAAACUCUCAACCCCCCUAUUUUGUAAUGAGAUGGGCGUGGGCUUGGAUUAUGACUGCUGUCGGCGUAAUUGCCGGCUCAGUUGAAAUACACGAGCAACCCAUUUGAAAUAAACGGCUUGACUCGGCGUAAUAAUUAUUUCGCUGAGGACGUUUUCUUCAAAAGUUAGAGGUGCUUCUAAUGCGCUAUUACAGCACUUUAAAUUUUAGACCUCAAAUCAGUCAGGACUACCCGCUGAACUUAAGCAUAUCAAUAAGCGGAGGAA
rnacentral:rRNA from 1 species